AAAGAAAAACCCUAGCCUCUACCAAAUUCUUCUCUAUACUCUCAACAAAUUCUUUCUACCUCUUUCUCUUGCAAGUGUUAGAGACCACACAUCUAACCCUUGGAGUCCUAGAGAAUGACAAGGUUUUUUUUACGGUAGUGUCCUUGAUCAUUGAAGAGGUGUUCGUGAGACAAGCAAGAGGAAUUUAUGAGAAGAACAGAAUUCAACAAAUAGAUCAUCCUAACCUUCGAUGGGGAGUCAAAGUGACCAACAAGGGAGUACAUUUAACUCUAAUGCACCACUAGAGGAUGUGGUUAAGUCAUUUGCUACCACUAUGCUAUCAUUUCAAAAAGAUGUAAGCACCUUCCAACAAGAAAUCAUGAAGAUGCAAGAAGAAAAUGCUGUUUUUCAAAAAGAGAUGAGACAAGAAAAACUCUUAGGUCUUGAAAAGAAA